rnacentral:rRNA from 1 species
UAGGGAAUCUUCCGCAAUGGGCGAAAGCCUGACGGAGCAACGCCGCGUGAGUGAUGAAGGUCUUCGGAUCGUAAAACUCUGUUAUUAGGGAAGAACAAAUGUGUAAGUAACUAUGCAGCUCUUGACGGUACCUGAUCAGAAAGCCACGGCUAACUACGUGCCAGCAGCCGCGGUAAUACGUAGGGUGCAAGCGUUAUUCGGAAUUAUUGGGCGUAAAGCGCGCGUAGGCGGUUUUUUAAGUCUGAUGUGAAAGCCCACGGCUCAAACGGGGAGGGUCAUUCGAAACUUGAAAACUCGAGUGAAGAAGAGGAAAUUGGAAUUCCAAGUGUAGCGGUGAAAUGCGCAGAGAUAUGGAGGAACACCAAUGGUGAAGGCGAACUCCUGGUCUGUAACUGACGCUGAUGUGCGAAAGCGUGGGGAUCAAACAGG